UCGAACGAGAAAGUGGAGCAAUCCAUGAGUACAGUGGCGUACGGGUGAGUAACACGUGGGUGAUCUACCUCUUAGUGGGGAAUAACUUUGGGAAACCGAAGCUAAUACCGCAUAAGCUCGAGAGAGGAAAGCAGCAAUGCGCUGAGAGAGGAGCCCGCGGCCGAUUAGCUAGUUGGCAGGGUAAAAGCCUACCAAGGCAUAGAUCGGUAGCCGGCCUGAGAGGGCACACGGCCACACUGGCACUGAAACACGGGCCAGACUCCUACGGGAGGCAGCAGUGGGGAAUCUUGCACAAUGGGGGAAACCCUGAUGCAGCGACGCCGCGUGAGCGAUGAAGCCCUUCGGGGUGUAAAGCUCUUUCGGCAGGGAAGAUGGUGACGGUACCUGCAGAAGCAGCUGCGGCUAACUACGUGCCAGCAGCCGCGGUAAUACGUAGGCAGCGAGCGUUGUUCGGAGUUACUGGGCGUAAAGGGUGUGUAGGCGGUUGUUUAAGUUUGGUGUGAAAUCUCCCGGCUCAACUGGGAGGGUGCGCCGAAUACUGAGCGACUAGAGUGCGGGAGAGGAAAGUGGAAUUCCUGGUGUAGCGGUGAAAUGCGUAGAUAUCAGGAGGAACACCGGUGGUGUAGACGGCUUUCUGGACCGUAACUGACGCUGAGACACGAAAGCGUGGGUAGCAAACAGGAUUAGAUACCCUGGUAGUCCACGCCCUAAACGAU
rnacentral:rRNA from 1 species